UACGGGGGGAGCAAGCGUUGUUCGGAUUUACUGGGCGUAAAGGGCGCGUAGGCGGUCAGCACAGGUCAGUUGUGAAAUCUCCGGGCUUAACCCGGAAAGGUCAACUGAUACUGUGCGACUAGAGUGCGGAAGGGGCAACUGGAAUUCUCGGUGUAGCGGUGAAAUGCGUAGAUAUCGAGAGGAAGACCAGUGGCGAAGGCGGGUCUCUGGACAGUUCCUGACGCUGAGGCGCGAAGGCCAGGGGAGCAAACGGG
rnacentral:rRNA from 1 species